AUACCUCCUGGUUUCUGCAUACAGAAAUGAAUAAUCAUCAUCUGUGAUGCCAAUGUAGUCAGGUAGUGUGGAAAUUGGAUUUGUCAUUAUGGUCAUUCAUAUGACUGCUGAUUCAAAUUUGAUCGUGUGGGAUCACCUCAGCUGGUGCUGCACAGAGCAUGUAAAAGCAAUGAUAAUUCCGCUCUGGGUCAGAUACUUGGCAAACACGUGAUCUCUCAAGAAGAUAUGUCCGAACUGCCGCACCAGAGAUCUUUCCGUGCUUAUCAAAUUGGAUCUCUACAAAUUUACCAAAACGACUGGCAUCUGCAACAGCAAAAAGAUGGGGACUUAGCUCACCAAAAGCAGCCCCUUUAUAUUGUUCCAUCAUGUGGAUGUCAUACAAGUGUGGCAGUCUCCGGAAGGGAUUGACUGCUAUUAGAAUAUUCCCG